AGCAACUCGUUAAGCAGGGAAAAAUAUAGAUUAUAUAGAUAGAUUAUAUAGAUUAUACAUAUAUACUUAAGUCGUUUUUCAGCUAAAAAACAAAAAUCAUAACAAACCUGAAACAUUGAGUUUACUAAUAAAUUAACUUCUCGCAUUGUGUGGGUGCCACGGAAAUUGCCACAAAGCAAUUUAAAAGGUAUGGUCAUAAAUUCAAAAAAAAUUCACCUGCGCAGCAGCCAAAGGAAAAAGAAUAAAAUUGUGCAUAAAAAUAAGAAUGAGACGCACAAAAAACGUUCGCCUAUAAAAUAUUAAAUAAAAAACUGGCGGGGAGUAUAACCCAUUAACUUAAACUGACACCAUACUAACAUAAAUCUCGUUCCUUGGCCAAGCAAAAGUCCCUGGGAAUUGACAAAAGGAAAAAAACGAAAAAAAAAAGGAAAGGGGAGGGAAAAUAUCUUGGCUAAUAGUCCAAGUGCUCCUGCCCACAAAAUGUUGAGGAGCACAUGGUCAUUUGCCUGCCGCGAAUCAACGAACUUGUCCAGCGGCCUCAAGAGUCACAACACUCUUGGGAUCAGGUGCACGGCUCCCACUGCUCCUUACCUGUGCUCCCCAAAUUAAGCACAAAUAAUAUAAAAUACAAUAACGUAGAAUCCCAGCCGCUGGCAAAGAAAAAUGAUACACAUAAUCGCCGCACGGCCAAGUGCAGAAUUUUCAGAUCAAAAAAGCAAAAUACGUUUAAGUUUUAGAACCGUACUUUGUAAUACCCUUGCAAUAUCAUGUGAGCUUAUAGUCCUUAUUUUAUAUAAAUAGAUCGUGUGAUUUGCUGCUUCAUGCUGCAUAUUCCUUAGGUCAUCAUGUAUAAGUUACCACUUAAUAUGCUAAGCACAACCAAAAAUACAGUACUCCUGGCACAGAACACUUUCCAAAUACCCAUGUACAGAGUAUAUAGCAAUGCAUCCAGAUCCCAGGAACGCGACUAACGAAGCCAGCGAAGCCAUCACGAACUGCGGGCAGAAGCUGCUCCGGCCACAUAAAGUACAAUAAAUCAUACUCAUGUUGCCGGGGACAGCGACAAAAGCCGCCUGCUCCGCUCCACGAUUCGCAGUCAUACUGGCCACGAUCACCUGGCACUUGGCCUGGUCCACAGAUGGGUCAGGCCAAUUGCGAAGCCAUUAAAUCGCCAUGGCCAGGGCCACAGUCGAGGUUUCUCCCGCACCUGACGUAUCACGUGACCAUUCCGCAAGCUAAGUUUCCUAGAUUACCCAGACAUUUACUCAUUUCGAGGUGAUAGCACACUGAAAACUAAAACAUUAUUCAAAAAUACUUACUGCAUAUAUAGAGAGUAUUUUUUGGGUGCUUGAACUUGAAUUACAAAUGAACUUAGUGUGGAAAACGCAGUGGGGAUCAGGACCUGUUGGCCGCCAUCAAGGCGUGCAUUAUGGAAAUUAGCAUCGGCUUAAGAGACGCCCCAUUCGUCGGCACAAAUGACCCAACUCCAAGCCGCAUCGGGUGCGUGCCGCCAUCUCGGCUAAUGACCAGCGGGAGCAGCAGCACUUGUAGUUGCAUCUAAGACAUCAGUAAGCACCGAAAGAAGCUCUGGAAGCAAUCGUCCCACAGCCCGGCGAGUUUUACGAGCUCAUUGGAAGUGCUGCUCCGGCACGGGAAGAGCCGAAACAUGUGUAUGUAUGUACAUAUUCCUCUCACCUCAGUGGGCUUAGUGGCAGGCGGGCCAUUAGCCAAAGCGUACAGCAUAAUGGCCAUAUGUUUAUGGCGUUCUUGCCAGUCUUUAAAAAUUAUUCAUAAUAGGCGUACAUCACUCUUGCGACUUAGUCCGUCUCUGUGGGCGUUCAUUUUGUCAAGUUUUUUUUUUUUUGUAUUUAGUGCUGUAAAUGUGUGUAUGGACUAA
ensembl:ncRNA lncRNA:CR43764 long non-coding RNA:CR43764